GGUUUUUUAGUUUAAUUAAAAUGUGGAUUUUGUAAAUCUAUGAUGAUAGUUUAUCAUUGACCU
rnacentral:tRNA from 1 species